CAUCUCUACAAUGGACCCUGAGCCAGAAGUGGUCGAUCGUGGAUCACAGUGCAACAUAAGAUGUUUACAUCGUUCAUUAGCUGUUCAGGUAAAGACUCAGAUGGUGGAUGUGGAGACUCAAACGGCUUGAGAACAAAGUGAUGAUGAAUGGACAUUUUCUGAUAUCAUCAACCAUUCUGGUGAUAUGUCAUGGAGUCCAGGGGAGGAGAUGCUGAGCGAGUCCUAUGAGGAGGAAACAGAAGAGCUGGAAUCUCUCAGUGACCCAAAGUAAAAACCUUCUUAUUAAUGGAAACUUUUUUCUGAUUGUGUAUUGGAAAAUGUCAUAGUCAGAAUUAAUGUUUUUUUUUUUCCUUUUCUUGUUUUCAGUGCUGUUUACAAGUUCAUUGUUUGCCAGAGGCAGUUGCUGUCCUUGUUCAUGGUUUGCCCUGCUUGCUGUGGGGAAACACAGGGACACAUAAUGCACCCGGAAGGAACUUUCAUAAAAGUCAAGCAGGCCUGCAGAACUUUUGGUUAUAAGCGUUACUGGCAAAACCAAGCGAAGGUGCAUCAAAACAUGCCUACCUGCAACUCAGCGGUGCU